CUUCUCAGUACUUUCACUUGAGGUCAAAGCAACUGUUUUGAAUGAAGAACAAAUAUCACCCAUCGCCCUUCUUAGUGGAUCUUUCUUGCGUAAAGACAUCCACUAAUUUCACUGAAAAUAUAUGCGGACAGCCAAAAACUGAGGCAGAAUGGGUUGCAAAUCAGCAGCGAUUUUCUGCAGAAGAAUAUAGAGAGAUUGCAACAACAGCGAAAAGUUUAUUUCAGUAGAGACCUUGAAAAACAAUGGAAGAGAGGCAAGCCUAAGAGGGAAAUCAAUAGGAGGCCUUGAAGGAGGGAAACUGGAGGAUGGACUUCUGUUUUUCCUUUCCAGAAGAACUAGAGGAGAAAACUGGUACAUUUGAGCAGCCCUGCAUGGUAUAUGGAUAUCUACUUGGCUGAAACCACCCCCUGACAGACCCUGGCAAUUUACACAUGUACACCAGUGAACUUUCUUCAUUACAUGCAAAAGUAUCCACCCUGGGAGGAGCUGUAGCUUCUUUAUAAUAGCACUCAACCUAUGGGCUGGCAUGAUGACCCUGUGUCUGCACCUUAGGAGCCCCCCCCCCGCCCCAUGCAAUGAUGCACCUGCUCCCUUUUCAUUGCCCAAUAAAACCCUCCUUUUGCUUUCCCUUUGAGAGCACUGCUUUGGAGAAUAGUCCCAGGGCUCUCCUUACUUGUAACAAGUAAUA